rnacentral:lncRNA from 1 species
UCCUUGAUCAUAGUCAGACAGUGAUCAUGGACAGAUUGCCCCUCGUACAUCUUUGCCUUGAAGAGCCUCUUGGACACUUCAAAGCAUGUUAUGCGGCAUUGCUCACCAUACAACUUUUGCAGGUGUGCUAAUAUCUUCCUAGCAGUCUUCAUAUUCUCAUGUUGGCAUUGGAGUUUAUUAGUCAUGGAUGCCAUAAUCUAGCACUUGACUCUAAUGUCAUCGUCCAUCCAUUUUUCA